rnacentral:rRNA from 1 species
UACAGAGGGGGCAAGCGUUGUUCGGAAUUACUGGGCGUAAAGAGCUCGUAGGCGGACUGUCACGUCUGCUGUGAAAAGCUGGGGCUUAACCCUGGCCUUGCAGUGGAUACGGGCAGACUAGAGGUAGGUAGGGGAGAAUGGAAUUCCCGGUGUAGCGGUGAAAUGCGCAGAUAUCGGGAGGAACACCGGUGGCGAAGGCGGUUCUCUGGGCCUUACCUGACGCUGAGGAGCGAAAGCGUGGGGAGCGAACAGG